UAAAGUCUAAUCUGCCCACUGAUAUAAUAUUAAAGGGSUGCAGUAUUUUGACUGUACAAAGGUAGCAUAAUCAUUAGUCUUUUAAUUGAAGACUUGUAUGAAUGAUUGGAUGAAAUAUAAACUGUCUCUAAUAUUAUUAGUUAGAAUUUAAUUUUUUUAUUAAAAAGUAAAAAUAAAUUUAAAAGACGAGAAGACCCUAUAGAGUUUUAUAAUUAAUUUAAUUGAAAUUAUUUAUAAAGAUAAUUUUAAAUUAAUAAAUUAAAAUUAAGUUAAUUAUUUUGUUGGGGUGAUAAAAAAAUAAAAAUAACUUUUUUUAAUAAAUAUAUAUAUAUAUAUAUAUAUAUAUAUAUAUAUUGUAAACAAAAAUAAAUGAUUUUUUGAUCCAGAAUUUUUGAUUAUAAGAAAAAAUUACCUUAGGGAUAACAGCGUAAUUUUUUUUUUUAGUUCAAAUAARAAAAAGAGUUUGCGACCUCGAUGUUGGAUUAAGGAAAAAUUUAAAUGCAAAAGUUUAAAAUUUUG
rnacentral:rRNA from 1 species